rnacentral:tRNA from 1 species
GGGCAUAGUUCGGCGGUAGAGUGUGUGCUUAGCAUGCAUAAGGUCCUGGGUUCAAUCCCCAGUAGCUCA